rnacentral:rRNA from 1 species
UACGGGGGGAGCAAGCGUUGUUCGGAUUUACUGGGCGUAAAGGGCGCGUAGGCGGCCACCGCAAGUCGGUUGUGAAAUCUCUGGGCUUAACCCAGAAAGGUCAACCGAUACUGCGGGGCUAGAGUGCAGAAGGGGCAACUGGAAUUCUCGGUGUAGCGGUGAAAUGCGUAGAUAUCGAGAGGAACACCUGCGGCGAAGGCGGGUUGCUGGGCUGACACUGACGCUGAAGAGCGAAAGCUAGGGGAGCGAACGGG